AGUUCAGAUUGCAGGCUGCAACCCGCCUGCAUGAAGUCGGAAUUGCUAGUAAUCGCGGAUCAGCAUGCCGCGGUGAAUACGUUCCCGGGCCUUGUACACACCGCCCGUCACACCAUGGGAGCCGGUAAUACCCGAAGUCAGUAGUCCAACCUCGUGAGGACGCUGCCGAAGGUAGGAUUGGCGACUGGGAUGAAGUCGUAACAAGGUACC
rnacentral:rRNA from 1 species